CACCCUCCAGGAGUCCCCAGGUCGACUGCCUCUCCGUACUCUACUGCUGGGUCUGGUUGACUGCAGGAAAACACCGGGGCAGAGUGGAACUGAGAGAGGAGAAGGAGAAGAGGAACAUGGAGAUAUGAUUUCAUUAAGGGACAUCCCUAAUCGUUGCUCUCUAAGUGGGAGGGGCUUAUCAUCUGGGGAGCCUCAACAACAUUAUGAUGCUGACAAGAAAGAGAAGAGUCUCUCCAGAUCAGAACACCUCAAACACCAGCAUAGAGGUGCUGGGUAGAGAUAUGAGGGGGAGACGGUCAUGACCCCAUCAGACCUUUUGGCAGAACGCUCAGAAUGUGUUCUAUAAUUUACAUGCAGGAACCAAAUGUUAAUGAUGAAUAAUGUAAAUCAUAACUUGUCUGUGUUACCAGUAUAUAAGAGGACUAACGGGACUGCCCCGAAAGAGCUCCUGACCGUAAGUUUGUUGGAAUCUCUCCAGCUGGCUGAUAAUAAAUAAUUAUUAAUUUAA